UUGCUGCAAGCUACCAUUUCAAUAAGUUAUUUACACGGGGGGUGGUGAGUCACCCUGGAACAGGUCGUCCACAGAAGCUGUGGCUGCCCCAUCCCUGCAAGCAUUCAAGGCCAGCUUGGGUAAAACCCAGAAGACCUGAGCAGAAUUACAUUGUUGUGAUUCCAGUUUGGUGACAUAGCCCUGAACAACAUGCUCUGGUGUGAGAUAGGUAUGGAAAAGAAGGCAAGACUAGACUACUGUGAAGCAGACAAGAGUUUUCCUAUUAACAGCAAUAGGAUAUUCAAUUAUUUGGAAAAAUAAAAGGCUUUACUCCAGAAUUGGGCUUGUGCACUCAGUACACACUGCAUUUUAUACUAUAAUACUAGAAUCCACAUUUGAACAGGUGCAUGGAAAACAAAGCAAGCCAAACAAGUUGUUCAGUGAGCAAUGAAACCAAUGAAUGUGGGUCUCCCAUACCUAUAAGGU